ACCUGCGGAGGGAUCAUUACACAAAUAUGAAGGCGGGCUGGAACCUCUCGGGGUUACAGCCUUGCUGAAUUAUUCACCCUUGUCUUUUGCGUACUUCUUGUUUCCUUGGUGGGUUCGCCCACCACUAGGACAAACAUAAACCUUUUGUAAUUGCAAUCAGCGUCAGUAACAAAUUAAUAAUUACAACUUUCAACAACGGAUCUCUUGGUUCUGGCAUCGAUGAAGAACGCAGCGAAAUGCGAUAAGUAGUGUGAAUUGCAGAAUUCAGUGAAUCAUCGAAUCUUUGAACGCACAUUGCGCCCUUUGGUAUUCCAAAGGGCAUGCCUGUUCGAGCGUCAUUUGUACCCUCAAGCUUUGCUUGGUGUUGGGCGUCUUGUCUCUAGCUUUGCUGGAGACUCGCCUUAAAGUAAUUGGCAGCCGGCCUACUGGUUUCGGAGCGCAGCACAAGUCGCACUCUCUAUCAGCAAAGGUCUAGCAUCCAUUAAGCCUUUUUUUCAACUUUUGACCUCGGAUCAGGUAG
rnacentral:rRNA from 1 species